CCUUCGAUAGCUCAGCUGGUAGAGCGGAGGACUGUAGAGUGUGCGACAGCCAUCCUUAGGUCGCUGGUUCGAUUCCGGCUCGAAGGA
rnacentral:tRNA from 1 species